GUGCCAGCCGCCGCGGUAAUACGUAGGGUGCAAGCGUUGUCCGGAAUUAUUGGGCGUAAAGAGCUCGUAGGCGGCUUGUCGCGUCUGCUGUGAAAUCCCGGGGCUCAACUCCGGGCCUGCAGUGGGUACGGGCAAGCUAGAGUGCGGUAGGGGAGAUUGGAAUUCCUGGUGUAGCGGUGGAAUGCGCAGAUAUCAGGAGGAACACCGAUGGCGAAGGCAGAUCUCUGGGCCGUAACUGACGCUGAGGAGCGAAAGCAUGGGGAGCGAACAGGAUUAGAAACCCUUGUAGUCC
rnacentral:rRNA from 1 species